UACAGAGGUGGCAAGCGUUGUUCGGAAUUACUGGGCGUAAAGGGCGCGUAGGCGGCCUUCUAAGUCAGACGUGAAAUCCCCCGGCUUAACCUGGGAACUGCGUCUGAUACUGGGAGGCUAGAGUAUGGGAGAGGGAUGUAGAAUUCCAGGUGUAGCGGUGAAAUGCGUAGAUAUCUGGAGGAAUACCGGUGGCGAAGGCGGGUCUCUGGACAGUUCCUGACACUGAGGCACGAAGGCCAGGGGGAGCAAACGGG
rnacentral:rRNA from 1 species